UACGAAGGGGGCUAGCGUUGUUCGGAAUUACUGGGCGUAAAGCGCGCGCAGGCGGUCUUCCAAGUCAGUGGUGAAAGCCCGGAGCUCAACUCCGGAACUGCCAUUGAAACUGUUGGACUUGAGUACGAGAGAGGUGAGUGGAAUUCCCAGUGUAGAGGUGAAAUUCGUAGAUAUUGGGAAGAACACCGGUGGCGAAGGCGGCUCACUGGCUCGUAACUGACGCUCAGGCGCGAAAGCGUGGGGAGCAAACAGG
rnacentral:rRNA from 1 species